GACGAACGCUGGCGGCGUGCUUAACACAUGCAAGUCGAACGGAAAGGCCCUGCUUUUGUGGGGUGCUCGAGUGGCGAACGGGUGAGUAACACGUGAGUAACCUGCCCUUGACUUUGGGAUAACUUCAGGAAACUGGGGCUACUACCGGAUAGGAGCUCCUGCUGCAUGGUGGGGGUUGGAAAGUUUCGGCGGUUGGGGAUGGACUCGCGGCUUAUCAGCUUGUUGGUGGGGUAGUGGCUUACCAAGGCUUUGACGGGUAGCCGGCCUGAGAGGGUGAACGGCCACAAUGGGACUGAGAUACGGCCCAGACUCCUACGGGAGGCAGCAGUGGGGAAUAUUGCACAAUGGGCGGAAGCCUGAUGCAGCAACGCCGCGUGCGGGAUGACGGCCUUCGGGGUGUAAACCGCUUUCGCCUGUGACGAAGCGUGAGUGACGGUAAUGGGUAAAGAAGCACCGGCUAACUACGUG
rnacentral:rRNA from 1 species